UACAGAGGUCCCAAGCGUUGUUCGGAUUCAUUGGGCGUAAAGGGUGCGUAGGCGGCGCGGUAAGUCGGGUGUGAAAUCUCGGAGCUUAACUCCGAAACUGCAUUCGAUACUGCCGUGCUUGAGGACUGGAGAGGAGGACUGGAAUUUACGGUGUAGCGGUGAAAUGCGUAGAUAUCGUAAGGAAGACCAGUGGCGAAGGCGGGUCUCUGGACAGUUCCUGACGCUGAGGCACGAAGGCUAGGGGAGCAAACGGGAUUAGAAACCCCCAGUA
rnacentral:rRNA from 1 species